rnacentral:rRNA from 1 species
AGCGAACGCUGGCGGCAGGCCUAACACAUGCAAGUCGAGCGCCGUAGCAAUACGGAGCGGCAGACGGGAGAGUAACACGUGGGAACGUACCCUUUGGUUCGGAACAACCCAGGGAAACUUGGGCUAAUACCGGAUAAGCCCUUGCGGGGAAAGAUUCAUCGCCGAAGGAUCGGCCCGCGUCUGAUUAGCUAGUUGGUGGGGUAAUGGCCCACCAAGGCGACGAUCAGUAGCUGGUCUGAGAGGAUGAUCAGCCUCACUGGGACUGAGACACGGCCCAGACUCCUACGGGAGGCAGCAGUGGGGAAUAUUGGACAAUGGGCGCAAGCCUGAUCCAGCCAUGCCGCGUGGGUGAUGAAGGCCCUAGGGUUGUAAAGCCCUUUCGGCGGGGAAGAUAAUGACGGUACCCGCAGAAGAAGCCCCGGCUAACUUCGUGCCAGCCGCCGCAGUAACAC